AGUGCUAACCACCGUGCCACCGUGCUGGUCAAACUGGCUGCAGGACACAAGUUUGACAGAGAUGUUGAACUGCUGAUUUAUUACAAAGAUGCUCACCAGCCCACUGCUGUGGUGGAGGCAGGACAGGCCUCUGCUGAGCCGGGCACUCUGAUGGGUGAUCCAGUGGUGAUGGUGAGUUUGUACCCUGAGUUCCCCCAGUCUGUGAUGUCUUCAGGGACGUCUUGUGGAGAGUUUGUGUUCUUAAUGGAUCGAUCUGGAAGUAUGGGCUAUCAGUAAGAGUGAGCAGGAGGAAACUCAUAUGAGCUCUGCCAGGGUAUCCUUAAUACGUUAUUACAGUCAUAACAUCUUUAAUAGUGUCCCUCUCCGCUCUGCUGCUUCUGUUAAAGAACUUACCAAUGGGCUGCUAUUUCAACAUUUACAGUUUUGGGUCCAGUUAUGAACACAUCUUCCUUAAGAGUGUGGAGUAUAGCCAAGAGACCAUGCAGGAGGCGCUGAAGAAUGUUGAUCACAUGGAGGCUGAUUUGGGAGGAUCAGGGAUGCUGGAGCCCCUCAAAUAUAUUUACAACCAGCCUUGCAUUCCCAGUCACCCUAGACAGGUAACAUGCACAAUGGCUCUAAUUAAUUUUCUGGGGACUUCUUGUAAUCAUAACCUUACUGCUUGCCUAACUCUUACCUUAACCUCCUAAGACCCGAGCUCUUUCAUGGCAU